AUGAUGGGCGGGAAGCAUCCACGAACAAUAUUGACAAAUCAAGCAAGAUCCAGGGAGAUAGCGAUCAAGAGUGAGCUCCCUGAUACUGUGCACAGGUGGUGCAAGUGGCAUGUUCCUAAGAAAGCAAAGGAGAACCUUGGCCCACUAUACAUAAGCAAAAGCGAGUUCAGGGCUGAAUUUCACAAAGUCAUGAAUCACAUGAUAAGUGUGGAGGAACUUGAGACUGCAUGGGGUGCACUUGUUGAGAAAUACAAUUUGAAAACCCACAAUUACAUGACAAACCUUUACAAGAUACGUCGAAAGUGGGCGAAGCCGUACUUCAAAGGUGUCUUCUGUGCCAAAAUGACUAGCACCCAGCGCAGCGAGAGCGUCAACAACAUGCUGAAGAUUUACAUGCCGCCAUCUAGCCCAAUGCAUGUAUUCGUGCGCCAGUACACGAGGCUUCAAUUCGACUGUGAAUCAGAUGAGAGCUACCAAGAGAAAAGAACAAGGAUUAGUGGUGCUGUGAUGAGGACCAACAUUUCUAUCGAAAGGCACGCGAGUAAGAUUUAUACAAGAAAGAUGUUUGAAUUAUUUGGUGAGAAUCUGUUCGAAGGUGGUUCAUACCAAGUUGAGGAAUUGCAAAAGAAAAAGAAAUAUAUCGCAAGGCACAAUGACGCUGAAAAAAGAGAGAAGUGA
rnacentral:rRNA from 1 species